AAAGCAACUAUUUGAACUUAGAGAUGUCAAUGGAUAUGGAUAUCCAAAAUUUUAUCCGAAUCCGAAUCUAAACGAGAUGGAUUUAUCUGAUGGCACAAAGAUAUAGUUUCGGAUAAGAAUAUAAAAAAUAAAAAGCCGACAGAUUUGGAUUGGGAUAUAGAUUUUGUCUGUAGUCGGAUCGAACCCUAACUCGAAUCCGAAUUGAUUUUACAUUAUAUAUUUUGUGUAAAUAAAUAUUUGAUGUUAUAUUUAAAUUUAUAUUUUUAAAAAUAGAUAUCUAAUAUGAUACGUUCUUAAAUACAAUAAAGAGAAAUAAUUUUUUCAGUUUCUAAUUUUCGGGAUAAGGUUCAGGCUCAGGUUUUGAAUUUUUAGUCGGAUUCGGAUUUAGAUAUGAAUUUUAAAAUUUGUCGAAUUUGGUUCAAAUUAGAAUUUCGGGUUUGACAGCUGGAUUUGUAUUUGAAUUUUUAAAAUUUUAUAUCAAAUCCGACCCACUGACAUCUCUGCCUGAACUUAAAAAAAUUUUUUUUUUUU
rnacentral:lncRNA from 1 species